UUUUAUCAGAGAGUUUGAUCCUGGCUCAGGAUGAACGCUGGCGGCGUGCUUAACACAUGCAAGUCGAACGGGAAUUACUUUAUUGAAACUUCGGUGGAUUUAAUUUAAUUCUAGUGGCGGACGGGUGAGUAACGCGUGGGUAACCUGCCUUGUACAGGGGGAUAACAGUCAGAAAUGACUGCUAAUACCGCAUAAGCGCACAGGACCGCAUGGUCC
rnacentral:rRNA from 1 species